rnacentral:rRNA from 1 species
AUGGUGUACGAGUUGUCCUGCCAAGGGCACCGCUCGGUAGCUAUGUCCGUUCCGGAUAACCGCUGAAAGCAUCUAAGUGGGAAGCCGACCUCAAGAUGGGCUCACCCUCUGCGUAAGCAGGUAAGGCCGCAGGUAGAGAACCUGUUCGAUAGGCGCCAGGUGGAAGGACCGUGAGGUCUGGAGCUGAGGCGUACUAACGGCCGAGCGGCUUGACCUA